UACGUAGGGUGCAAGCGUUAAUCGGAAUGACUGGGCGUAAAGGGUGCGCAGGCGGUCUGCUAAGAUAGAGGUGAAAUUCCCUGGCUCAACCAGGGCAUGGCCUAUAUGACUGGCAGGCUAGAGUAGGGCAGAGGGAGGUGGAAUUCCACGUGUAGCAGUGAAAUGCGUAGAGAAUGUGGAGGAACACCGAUGGCGAAGGCAGCCUCCUGGGUCCAUACUGACGCUCAGGCACGAAAGCGUGGGGAGCAAACAGG
rnacentral:rRNA from 1 species